GAAGGAGCCCCGACUCCCCGGGACAGCCGGGGCACCGGUGAGGAUCCCUCGUUCUCCCUCGGCAGUUUCCCGGAGAGGCGGCGGGGAAGGGCCGACGAUGGACCUCGAUGGGCCGGACGCCGCCCGCCGGGAGGCAGAGCUGGAGCGCGGCCGCUACUUGAGCCGCCGGGCCGUGGCCCAGGAGCAGCUGGUGCAGAAUAUGUAGCUGAACAGAAAGUAAUUAAAGCUGAAGAGAAAAAAAAAGAAGACAAAGAUGAUGAUUGGAUUAAGGAUUAAAGAAACGAUGGCUGAUCUGGCAAGAGAAAAAGAUGCAGAGACUAACAGGCUGAUGCAGAAGCAUAGGGACAAAGCUUUUGAAAAAACUAUCUGCACAGAUGAACAAGGCAUUUAAGAUUGAAGAUGAUUGCCUUGUGAGAGGAGCUGCAGAGGUAGAAGCUGAAUACCAAAUGAAAAACUAGGAGAAAGAAGCAAGACAGAAGGCUGCCAUUGAAUCUAUUGCUGAAUACAGAGCCAGUGCGGUAAGAAACCUGGGCUGAUCUUACUGCUGCUUACUUCAGCUGAGGAGCCUGGCCCAGAUCACAGCUGG
rnacentral:lncRNA from 1 species